rnacentral:rRNA from 1 species
UACGUAGGCAGCGAGCGUUGUUCGGAGUUACUGGGCGUAAAGCGUGCGUAGGUGGUUUUUUAAGUCCGUUGUGAAAGCCCUGGGCUCAACCUGGGAAUGGCAGUGGAUACUGGAAAGCUAGAGUGCGGUAGAGGGUAGUGGAAUUCCCGGUGUAGCAGUGAAAUGCGUAGAGAUCGGGAGGAACACCAGUGGCGAAGGCGGCUACCUGGACCAGCACUGACACUGAGGCACGAAAGCGUGGGGAGCAAACAGG